UGGAAGCUAUGUGUAAGGUUUGGGGUCGUGGGUUUCAAAUCCCACGCAUUGCGCACGCGCAUAUUUUGCAUGAAAAAUUAUGUGACUUGUGACUUGUGACAUGCGCGCGUGGGGGAGUAUAAGGAAUCGGUACUCGUAGCCUAAGAGGGGGACGGGGUGAAUUAGGCAACUUAAAACCUUAACCUACUUUGCAUCAAAACAUAAUCUAGAUCAUGCUAACCUACUAAUGACUCUCCUAAGCUUGUGCUAAGCCUUUGAUGGAUCACUUAAGCACUUUUGGUGGUUUGGAUGUGUUUUUGCUGAGUCUUGGUCUUCAAUGCAUCCCUUGACACUCAAACAACUCCGAAUGGGCGAGUGAUGACGGUACAAAUAGCCAUAAAGGCUCAAAGAGCCAUUGCUCCAAUAGCUAGUAAAAAA
rnacentral:lncRNA from 1 species